rnacentral:rRNA from 1 species
AUGCAAGUCGAGGGGUAUAGUUCUUCGGAACUAGAGACCGGCGCACGGGUGCGUAACGCGUAUGCAAUCUACCUUUCACAAAGGGAUAGCCCAGAGAAAUUUGGAUUAAUACCUUAUAGUAUAACGACUUCGCAUGGAGCUGUUAUUAAAGAUUUAUCGGUGAAAGAUGAGCAUGCGUCCCAUUAGCUAGUUGGUAAGGUAACGGCUUACCAAGGCUACGAUGGGUAGGGGCCCUGAGAGGGAGAUCCCCCACACUGGUACUGAGACACGGACCAGACUCCUACGGGAGGCAGCAGUGAGGAAUAUUGGUCAAUGGGCGCAAGCCUGAACCAGCCAUGCCGCGUGCAGGAUGACGGUCCUAUGGAUUGUAAACUGCUUUUGUACAGGAAGAAACACUCCCUCGUGAGGGAGCUUGACGGUACUGUAAGAAUAAGGAUCGGCUAACUCCGUGCCAGCAGCCGCGGUAAUACGGAGGAUCCAAGCGUUAUCCGGAAUCAUUGGGUUUAAAGGGUCCGUAGGCGGCUUAAUAAGUCAGUGGUGAAAGCCCUACGCUUAACGUAGGAACGGCCAUUGAUACUGUUAGGCUUGAAUUAUUAGGAAGUAACUAGAAUAUGUAGUGUAGCGGUGAAAUGCUUAGAGAUUACAUGGAAUACCAAUUGCGAAGGCAGGUUACUACUAAUGGAUUGACGCUGAUGGACGAAAGCGUGGGUAGCGAACAGGAUUAGAUACCCUGGUAGUCCACGCCGUANACGAUGGAUACUAGCUGUUGGGAGCAAUUUCAGUGGCUAAGCGAAAGUGAUAAGUAUCCCACCUGGGGAGUACGAACGCAAGUUUGAAACUCAAAGGAAUUGACGGGGGCCCGCACAAGCGGUGGAGCAUGUGGUUUAAUUCGAUGAUACGCGAGGAACCUUA